UCUACUUUUGGUUGCAUUUGCUUUUAUACCAUCUGGCAGCUAGUGUGACCUUCACCGUGAACUGCUUCCGGGCAAGACAUUAGUGUUUUUCUGAGAAGAUGGCAAAUCAAAAAUUUGUUAAAUUUUUUUAUUUGCUUGUGGAUCUGCAAAAGGAAGGCCUUGAUGCCCAUUUAGUGCUUUGCUAACUUCGAACACACGAGGAUCUGUGACUUCGAGGCAGUUAUAUACUUAUGUUGAAUGAAAUGGGGCGAUAUUUUCCUUUAGCCUUUAAAAUGGUUACACGACUUACAUUAUAUCAACCACCACGACACUCGGUCUAGCAGAUAUGGAACUCAAAAAUCCAGAUUAGCAGUAAUGUGCAUCGUUACGCCAGUUUGUGCUCUAUUCUCCCAGCUCUCAUCUUCACCGAUGGAUGACAUAAUUUCCACCUUCCAUGAGUCCAUCUAGCCAUUUAAAUAGCCGGUCGUGCGCCUUCACUGAUCAGUGUUGAUCCGUUGGUUCAAGGAGAAACAUCUUUUUAAAGAAUAAGGUGUUGCUGUUUAAACUGAGAUUCACAUUUAAAGACUUGCAGCCAUGAAGGCAACGGCGAUUCUUCUGGGUUUUGUUGUCGCAACGUAUGCCGUUCCGCAAUACGGGUCUAUCCCACAACAAGCGCCAACGUCGAACUUUCAUAGCAAUUACGCGAACACUAGCCCAGCAGGGGGCAAACCUCAACUAGAAGACAUUCAAAGGCAAUGGGCCAAGUUCACUGAAAAGCUACCAUGGCUCCAAGGGCCUGCUGGUCCACCUGGCCCUCCAGGCGCACCUAGUGGGGAUCAGGUUCAGCAAACAAUAGUUGGCCCCCCUGGUCGUCCAGGAGCACCAGGACCUGCUGGACGUAAAGGAGAAAGUGGCACUCCUGGAAAUCCUGGAUUUGCUGGUGGAACUGGACCACAAGGACUACCUGGUCUUGACGGUGCUCCUGGUAGGCCUGGAAGAGCAGGUGAACGUGGAGCAAAUGGAUUUCCUGGCGCUCCUGGAGGACCUGGUUUCCCUGGUGCUAAAGGAGUGGCAGGAUCUAACGGAGCACCUGGUCUCAUUGGAGCUCCAGGGACUCCUGGAAAAGACGGUUUCAAUGGAUUGCCUGGAUUUCAAGGGGUCAAAGGGGAGCCGGGUCCGCCAGGCAUAACGUUGCCAUCAAAUGUUCCUGGACCUGCCGGUGCACCUGGUGCUCCUGGAAAAGACGGAUGGCCUGGUUUACCUGGUGGACCUGGACCCGCCGGCCGAGUUGGACCCUCUGGAGGCGUGGGAUCUGCAGGACGACCGGGGGGAAAUGGAUUUCCAGGGGCUCCUGGCCCAAAAGGUGAAGUUGGAAAUCCUGGUAUUAACGGCCAGUCUGGUAAAGAUGGACUUAAUGGCGCUCCAAGCACUAAACCUGGCCCAGUGGGACCCCAAGGACCUGUAGGACCACCAGGCUUUAAUGGUGCUCCUGGGAAAGAUGGUUCUUCUGGCUCACCAGGAGCUCCAGGUAAAGACGGACUUCCUGGCGGGCCCGGUUUACCAGGUGGACCUGGACAACCUGGUAAACAAGGCAAGGAUGGACUUAAUGGAGCCCCAGGGGUAGCUGGUCUUCCUGGUGGUCCUGGACCUGUAGGACCUCAAGGCAAACCAGGCGCUUCUGGUUUUCCUGGUGCACAAGGAAGUCCUGGGCCAGCUGGAUCUGUUGGAAACUCUGGGCCUCAGGGUAAACCUGGCGCACCAGGCUUCCCCGGUAGCUCGGGUUCUCCAGGUCCCCAGGGGGGACAGGGACCUCCAGGAGGAUUUGGGCCUCAAGGAAGACCCGGCACUCCUGGUGGCCCAGGACCUGCUGGCCCUGCAGGAGCUCCUGGUUCUCCCGGAAAUAUUGUUCAACCUCCUGCUUAUAAUGCACCUGGACAACAGCCUUCCUAUCAAGCCACAGCUCAACAGCAUUCAUCCCAUUCAUUUCAAUCUUUGCAACCCGCAUAUGGACGUUAGGAUCAUCCCCAGUUGAACUCUUUUAUCGGAGUUGAAGUUUAACCUCUUUAAAUUUCAAUCCAGGUUUUUUUUUAAGAUAAAUAUACAAAGAAUGGAGACAAGCGGUACACGAAUGAUGAGGGAAAAAAUCGUAGGUGAAGAUGAAGGUACAGCAGCAGAUCUUCAGUGCCGUUUACCACGAUGAUGUUAACAAACCAAAAACACAGAUGAAACAAAGGACAGGAAGGUCAAUAAGAUAAAGAAGUUUGAAAUCGCCUGACAAUACCAACAUAUCACAUUUCGCUUUCGAAAUGCAAAUCACCAGGUUGACGGCAAUUUGGAUUAUGUUCAUGAAUCCAUUUGUUUGAUACUGGAACGAGUUUCGCGCGGUAUGCUUUGUCAAGUCGUCGCCAUCACUGAUCGGGUGAAGAUAAUACAAGAACGCUGCACUGCUUUUCCGAGUCCAAACAGACAGAUAGACUUUCGGAAAGACUGUCGCCCCACCUGCCUCAACGUCACUUAUCUUUGAUUCAGAGUAAGGACAUUUUAUUUCUGACAACGGAGAGGUCGAAGCGUUGAACAAUUAAAUGCAAACAUUUAAGAUGGUCACGCGGAGGAGAGUAAUGGUAAUGUUAAGUCUACCCGAUCAAUUACAGCGUUCAGGUAACCAUCUCCGUAAUAAUACGAAUGCCUUCGUUAGACACGUCGCAGGUGGACGAUUGAUCUCCAAAUGGCUUUGGCUUUUCCAAUCAUCUCCUUCCUUCUGGCUUGCAUGAUUAGUGCCUCCUCGGCUUUUUGCUUUAUCUUUUCUUCCUUAGCAAAACGCUUGAAUUGUUCUUCUAGUUUGGAGUGAGCUGCGGCCACGGCCUCUUUUGCUGCAUCCAGCUCGGAAAGUGCUGAGGUCGCCCAGAAUUGCGACUGUAACAUGACUUCAACCAGUUUGUAUGUGUUCUUCUGAUAAGUGAAACGCUUUUCAAAUUCGUGCUGCUCACUGUAUGAUGAAAACAUUCUCUGAUAAUUCUCUGGAUUUUCGUCUUGGAGACGUUUCAAUGCCUCGAGUUCAGCAAUGAGUUUUUUUAGUUCGGCGUUCUCGCUCUCAAGUUCUGGUAUUUUGUCGUCUAUCUUUUGGCUUCGGGGCAACCCGGUUAAACUGUCAAUGCCAUCGUCAUGCGGAGAGUCUAAUUCAGGAGUUUCGAACUUUCGUUUACGUAUCUCGGCAAGACAGUUUAGCUCUUCGUCUUUUCUGUUUCUCGGAAUCAUUUUGACAGCAUCCAAAAUGGUCGUUGCCUUAAGUAGGAGUGCGCUUGCUGUUUCCAGCGCCCGUUCAGCUUGUUUUCCGGCAUCUUGUAAUACGUUGACCAUAUCGCCACACCUGGAUAUGUCAUCUCUGUAAAAAUUUGCUACCUUUGCCGUAGCCCGAAUGGAAUCCAACUUCCGUUCGUGUUUCCAAGCAUCGCAAUCGAUCUGAUCCUUCAACGAUUCCAAUUUGGACAGCUGAUUUCUAAGAUCGGCAUUUUCUUUCCCCAGUUCUUCUGUUCCGCGAGGUUCGUUGGUAGCUGGUGAAGAGGAUGUACUCAUGUCUGCGAUGUCUUCGUUAAAGGGUAAGCUCUUCCACCAUAUACUCUUUUCGCUGUCAUCCUUAUGCAUAAACUUAAACAGUUGGUCACUUGGAACUUCUAGAAUCUUUUUGGGUUCGUUUAUGGGUGGUGUUGACAAUGGGGGACAGACAUAUUUGCCACAAGUGCGUCCUUCGUUACUCGAUCUGGUAUUCGAUGUAUAUUCACUGUGCACAUCAGGUGUCUUUUUCACGGUUUGUACGAUCGUUUGAGUGCCAUGGGUUGUACCCGCAGAUACGUUUUCUUUAUCGCAGACUCUCUGUUCUUUCGGGAUCGCCUUUCCCGUUGAUGUAGAUGCUUCUGGAAUUUCAGAUAAUACGGCAGGUAGAGCUUCCUCCAUUGCUCUCUGAGGUUCGGCUUCGUCGGUUGACACAUUACUGUUCAACAUUUCAGCCCCGCUAGAAGUCGGUGACGCAGUUUCUGGUUGUCUCGGUAAGUUUUCGUUUUCAUCUGGGUUAUUGACUGGGUUUGGUCUGGUCUUGGUUUUCGGUGUAGAAUGUUGAGUGAAACAUAAAUUAAAGACUAGUACUCCAAUUGUUAUUGAGCCAAUUCCCGAAGCAAUGAAAUGAAUGAGCGAAAGCAUCCAUGUUAAAAUAUCGAAAAUGAUUUCGAAAAAUAGCACGUCCAUUUUGUGGUAUUCGCGGUGUAGUUGAUAAUUCGCUGAUGAAUUCGCUUACGCUGCAAUUGGAAGCGUCUCGUCUAUACUUCAUCUUCGUCUGCAAUGACGAAAGUAGGGGAGCAACUAGGGGACUUCUUUCCCGGAAAAUAAAAUGUGUAGCUUGCUGUGGUAUUAGAUUAUGUGACUUUUUUUAGAUUGGGAGACAUUAAUUCACAUAGUUCAACAGAAUAUUUACAAACCUUUCAUAACCUUUCCAUUUUGCCGAUUAUUGAAUCCCAAUGAACUGAAUUGCUGCAUUGGACUAAAAGAUGCAUUUGGUUACAUGAUAACCUAUAUGGUCGCGCCUAUUGCCCCUCAACUCCAGAUGGCACUAGUUACGGGAAAGAGUCGGCCUUCUAACUGUUUUUUUUUUUUUUUUUUUUUCCUCUCUUAUUAUUUGAUAUGAUACCUUCGUCCUUCGUGUAGUCUGAUAUUCAAGUUUUUUUUCCUUAGUUAUUUAUUGAGGUAAAAUCCUUCAGUGGGUACUAAUUGCAAAUGCUUUCUUUUCUUCAGAAUCGUGCGUUCAUAAUAUGAUGCUUUUUUAGUAUUAUUUUGUUUUUUGAGAUAGUUUUAAAUGAUAAAAGUCAUUUGAAAUGACAUUGAUGACAGAUAUAAUACUUAAACCAUCAUAUUAUGACACAUUGACACGCACGAUUCUGGAGAAAUAAAUGCGUUUGCAAUUGAUAACCACCGAAGGAUUUUAUCUCAAUAAAAUAGCUAACGAAAAAAAAAGAAAAAAACCUGAAUAUCAGCGGAAAGACUGCAAGAAGGUUCUCAUAAUAACAAAAAGGAAAAAACGAUCAGAAGGCCCUUCCCCGUAACUAGUGCCCUCUGGAGUUCAGGAGCAAUAGCAAAAAAGUCUAUUGCCAAACAAAAGUUGAGGGGCAAAAGACUCUCCCAACCUAUACACAUGAUUCGAAAUCUGUUGAAUCCUUCACUAACACCAAUCUGGAAGGUACAUCUAUCUGUUUAUAGUUAAGUCAUUUGGACCACUAAAAAAACAAAUUCUUUGAACACAUCGGCUGGAAUCCAUUGCGGUCUCAUGGAAGUUUGUCCCAUUACCAUGAAUUCAUCAGUAAUAAUGUUGGACAUAUUUCUGGUCAGCUUUUGAAAUACUUGUUCAUAUUUACUUGGCCUAAAGAUAACUGGGCAAUCAAACACAGUUGAGUGUUGUUCGGGACUGUUAGUUUCUGCUAAACUACAAAAUGUUGGUAUUCCUUUCCUAUUUAUACAUGCUGUGGAUCUGCUCAAUACACACUUGGACUCCCUGUUACACUUGGGUGAUUCUCAAGCUACUAUCCCAACAGCUGUAUUCACUGCUCUAGCUGCCUGGCAAAAUGAUUUUCAACAGAUUAUCUUGAUCACCAGAGCUGAACAUCAAGACCAAGAUGAAAUUUACUUUCACCUCGAUGCACCAUUACCACAAUGCUGUUAACAAUGGAAAAAUUAAAAAUUGCUGGUUAUUUAAAGAAAAACAAAAAAUAAUGAGCUGCACCCAAAAUUGAAAAGCACCUGUUAUCAUCUGUGAGGACACAAAUAAGAAAAAGAAAUUCCCCCGAAAGUCAUACUUGCUCUACAUUUUGCUCUCAUGUUUCAAACCACAUGAGAUGGAUUUCUUAAUUGAGCUCAUGAUUCCAUUCUUAGACGUUCAAAUGAGUUUCACAUCCUAUUAGAACAGGACAGGUGGCAUGCUGGAUCAAGUCGUCACCAUCAUUGUUCGGGUAAAGAUUAUACCAGAACGCUGCGCUGCCUUUCCGAGGCAAUACGGCCAAAUUGAUUUUUGGAAAAACUGUCGCCCCACAUGCCCCAAAAUAACUCAUCAAAGG